UGGUAUUGCAAUGCAUGUAAAAACUUGUGAUGCUUUGAAGGUAUUAUUCUAUGUCACGAAAUAAAUACAAGGAAACAUGAUAAUGAGACCAUUAUAGUAUGAUUUGCAAGAAACGGAAAACUAGUUGCCACUGUUCUUUCUUUUCCUGUUAAGAUUUGAAAGGUCUAUUUCCAUUGCACUCGGCCGUUUUACCUCUUGAACUGAUAGUGUGUGUGGAUCAAGCUUUUUUACAUGUUUUAUACAACUAUUUUUGAGGCCUAUUUGGGAAUCCAUCAAAACUUUGUAGUUUGGCUCUUCUUUCCCCCCAUCCUCUGAAACAUUUGGUUUACUUCACAAAAUAAUCUGUACAUUAUCUUUUCAAUUGCAGGAUGCUAAUGGAAAUGAUGUA
rnacentral:misc_RNA from 1 species